rnacentral:miRNA from 1 species
CGAUGUUCAGUUAUGGAUACGU